ensembl:lncRNA
CCGCAGAUAAUUAAGUACUUUGUAUUUCAUUUUCUGUUCCCUCCACCACUGGACGGGUGACUCGUCACGCUGGAGCAAAUCUCUCCGUAUUGAGCGCUACCAGCAGGUGGACAGCCCGAGGAGCAGAAAGCAGCGCUCUCUUCUCUAUCUCAGAAACGGUGAAGCCAGCGGAAAGUGAUCAGCAUCUCUCUCUCUCUCCUCUUUACAAGUGAAGGAAAGAAUGAGGCGACGUGAUGACAAAAGCCGCAGCUGCCCUUUCUUCUCCUGAAGCAGGGUGAAAAGUGACAUAAUGGCAUUCUGGCUCAGGUAGUCGUUAUCAACAUCGCUUCUGAUUUGUGCUGAGCAACACUUCACGUUGCCUCUCCUCAUCCCUCACCCUGUAACGAGCUGUCAGCCAGCCUCUCCACCGGAUUGGGAAACACCGGCUCCACACCUCUGGAGCUGCAUUGUCAUGAGAAAAACUGUUGCUUCUGAUUAGGAAUAUCUUCCAUGGCUAACUAAUUGUUUUUGUUGGCCAUCUUACUGUGGACGUGUUGGUUUAAAAAACACAAGGAAAAAUGAAUAUAACACAUGAAAAGAAAUACUGAUGAAUUUGUUUUGUUUUUGUUUUUCUUUCUCUACAGAAAUAUAUUUUCAUUUAUUUUGAUUAUUUCUGUAUCAAAGUUGUAUUAUCUUUUCUCACCUGAAAGACGUAGAGUGCCUCUGAAAUGUCAAAGACUGAGUCCUUGUGACGAUUAAAACACUUCAAUGUGACAGAAUCCUCUCGUCAAAUAUCAGCAGGCACCUUCAUUCUGUUUUAGUGGUAUUUACAAAAGCUGUUAUAUUUCGGUAUCCAACUCAGACAUUUUGAGCGAUAUUUUGUUUUUUUAUCUUUUAUAAUGUAUUUGUAUCCCUUUAAUUUACAAUAAUAUUUUGCUGUCUGCAUGUUUCUUCAACGAUUAUUUAAAAAUAGUGAUAUACAAAAGCCUUGCCUCUAUUUGUGUGAGUGCUAUAUAUAAUGACAUGAGUUUAUAGGGGGAUUGUGGUCAACAAAUCUGUCCACUUGUAUUGAUUUUCAUUACGCAAGUUGUUUUUCAUUGAAUCGUGGAUACUCUACAUAGAAUACGAUCUGAAUCAAGGGCCAAAGUAUAGUGAAAGAACAAAACCGAGUAAGGUAACAAGCUGAAGUCUCAAGUCUGUGCAGCUUUACAAUGCACCUCCCACUCCACUUGUAAAUAAACAUAUGAAUAAAUAAAUGUAUGUUUUUCAAGUCCAAACAUUCAUUUCCAGCUGCGUCUUUCUCAAGAUGGUUGGAGGCCAGAAUGUUAAUUAAAAUUGUCAAAAGGAUUUAGAGCCUCUGGAUCAGCUUGAGGAGUGCAGACAAAGCAUCAUGCCGUUAAAACCUGAUGUUAAACCUGAAUCACCAAACCAAGCACGUUGUCUGAGGUUAAUUAUGCUCAACAUCUUCUCCUCUCUGAAAAUGCCUUCUGAAGUCAGGACAACAGCACAAAAAACCUCGGAAAAAUAAGAGGAACUUUACAAAGAGCACUAGA